rnacentral:rRNA from 1 species
CUAUACAUGCAAGUCGAGCGAACAGACGAGGAGCUUGCUCCUCUGACGUUAGCGGCGGACGGGUGAGUAACACGUGGAUAACCUACCUAUAAGACUGGGAUAACUUCGGGAAACCGGAGCUAAUACCGGAUAAUAUAUUGAACCGCAUGGUUCAAUAGUGAAAGACGGUUUUGCUGUCACUUAUAGAUGGAUCCGCGCCGCAUUAGCUAGUUGGUAAGGUAACGGCUUACCAAGGCAACGAUGCGUAGCCGACCUGAGAGGGUGAUCGGCCACACUGGAACUGAGACACGGUCCAGACUCCUACGGGAGGCAGCAGUAGGGAAUCUUCCGCAAUGGGCGAAAGCCUGACGGAGCAACGCCGCGUGAGUGAUGAAGGUCUUCGGAUCGUAAAACUCUGUUAUUAGGGAAGAACAAAUGUGUAAGUAACUAUGCACGUCUUGACGGUACCUAAUCAGAAAGCCACGGCUAACUACGUGCCAGCAGCCGCGGUAAUACGUAGGUGGCAAGCGUUAUCCGGAAUUAUUGGGCGUAAAGCGCGCGUAGGCGGUUUUUUAAGUCUGAUGUGAAAGCCCACGGCUCAACCGUGGAGGGUCAUUGGAAACUGGAAAACUUGAGUGCAGAAGAGGAAAGUGGAAUUCCAUGUGUAGCGGUGAAAUGCGCAGAGAUAUGGAGGAACACCAGUGGCGAAGGCGACUUUCUGGUCUGUAACUGACGCUGAUGUGCGAAAGCGUGGGGAUCAAACAGGAUUAGAUACCCUGGUAGUCCACGCCGUAAACGAUGAGUGCUAAGUGUUAGGGGGUUUCCGCCCCUUAGUGCUGCAGCUAACGCAUUAAGCACUCCGCCUGGGGAGUACGACCGCAAGGUUGAAACUCAAAGGAAUUGACGGGGACCCGCACAAGCGGUGGAGCAUGUGGUUUAAUUCGAAGCAACGCGAAGAACCUUACCAAAUCUUGACAUCCUCUGACCCCUCUAGAGAUAGAGUUUUCCCCUUCGGGGGACAGAGUGACAGGUGGUGCAUGGUUGUCGUCAGCUCGUGUCGUGAGAUGUUUGGGUUAAGUCCCGCACGAGCGCACCCUUAAGCUUAGNUGCCAUCAUUAANUUGGCACUCUAAUUGACGGCGGNGGACAACCGAAGGAAGGGGGGAGUAGUCAAUCAUCAGCCCCUUACAUUGGGCUAC